ensembl:snoRNA SNORA62 Small nucleolar RNA SNORA62/SNORA6 family
CCUGCACAUUGUUAGCACCCAAAGCUAAGGCCACCAGCUGACGUGCAAGUGCAGGUAGUGUGCUACCUGAGGGGCAGGUCUUCUGUUAACAUGACAAGGGGCUCUGACCCAAUCAAGUAGACUUUGAUAGUAAUUCUCACUAUAAGU